UGGGACUUUGUCUUUAAAAUAAACAAAAAACAAACAGGUGUUGGGAUGGAAAGCCACUGAGAAAGGCAAAGUGUUCUUCUCUGCAUAGCCCUCUUGCUCCCUGUGACCGAGUGAAGGGCUUGAGAAAUAAACUACAAGUAUUAAACACUAACUGUAAAGAAGAAACAGAGAUCAUCCAAAUAGGCAGAUCCAAACCUAAGCCAAGAGCCUCUAGCCCAGUUCUCGUUUUGUGAGAAGAAAUUAGAACCUUAAAAAGUUUUCAGAAUAAGACCCCAAACAACCAAGCCAGGAAGAGGACAGAAAACCUGGAGGAGCCCAAAGGGGUGCAGGAACUUCUGACAGGUGUAUGGUGGGAGGACUGGACCAGGAGGCAUUGAUGAGAACUCAGCCAGAACAUUCUAGAAUUACAAGGAACAACCGGCCUGAUUAAUAUGCGGAACCUUGGCAAGGCAGAAACGAUUCUCAGUUAUGUUUCCCACUCCAGGAGAAUGUGACUUCCUGUUUGAAAUGGAGGAGGGCUUUGUCCCAACACAUGAUGAUCUUCACAGGCUGACAUUCUGGUCUCUUCAUUACACAGGAGUGACGCCUGAAGCUGAAGCGAUUAACACAAUGUUACACGACCGAAAGCUGAGGCAAGGGGCCAAUGUGGAGCCAUGAUUUGGAGCUGCUGGUUCCCAAGAGAGGAAUGCUUCCUCCAGGAGACACUGCAAUGGUUUUACUGAACUAGAAGUUGAGAUUGCCCCUUGGCUAUUUUAGACUACCAAUGCCACAGAAACAAAAGGCAAAGAAGGCAAUUACCCUGCUGACUGGGGUGAAUGAUCCCAAUUUCCACAGGGAAACUGGACUGCUGCCAUUGCUGCCAUACAACAGGGGCAGAGAAGAGUAUGCCUGACACCUGGAGAGUCUCUAGAGUGCCUCUUGGUACUUCCAUGUCCAAGAGUAAAAAUCAAUGGAAAACUAAAGCAACUAACAGACACACAGAGAGAAUCACUGAGGAUUGAGAUACCUAGGUUAUUCCACCAGGUAAUAAAUAAACCUCUGCCACAGAAGGUGCUGGCUGAGGGCAAAAGCCAAGUCCCAGCAGUCACGGUUUCCAUAUUGAAGCAAUGUUAAUUCCUCCUCUCAUUCCACCAAUCCCAGAUAAAUAUUCUAUAUCCUACAGACUGAACCAGGAAAAUAAUUCAUGCCACCCAGAGACAGACACCAUGCCAACUGGGACUUUUUGUCUUCCCUUAAGAGUGUGAAUACUGCAUGAAGCAUAGACACAUCAUAGGCAGAAACAAAGCUGUCCUGCUGUUGUGCCAAGUUGAAAAUGUGCAGGAGGAUAUGUGAAUGCUGAGAAUCUGAAGGGUUGGACUGUGCUGGUCAUUUAGUUGCCGUCUUUCUGAUCCAAGUCUGACCUGUGUGGUGGGGCAAGGACUGUGCAAACUGCAUCCUCGCUUUGCCAGUUGAAUUUCUAUUGGGUUCUGCCAGUAGGGGCUCAAGAUGGAGAAGGCAGAGGGGAACCUUAAAGUCAAUAUACCUUUACAGAAAGCGGGUGUGCAUGUGCAAGAGUUUUAAAUUAUUCUGAAUUAUUGCAUUUUCAUAUUAAUCAUUCACUCAUUCAGUCAUUCAACAAGCAUCCUCAGCACUGAGGCCCUAAGGAUUUAGCUGCUUAUAGAACAAG
rnacentral:lncRNA from 1 species